rnacentral:misc_RNA from 1 species
AAGUCGUAACAAGGUUUCCGUAGGUGAACCUGCGGAAGGAUCAUUAAAAAGGUUAGGAAUAUUAUGUUCUUAAAACACCACCUGUGUAAUUGUACUCGUUGCUUCCGUGGGCAGCGGACCAUGUCCCUGCAUCUCCUCCUUCAUGGUGGACCCACGGGAGGUAUUCAUAAAAUCUGCCAUUCGGUGAUCUCGGUCUGAAUAUGUUUGAUAAAUGUUAAAACUUUCAACAACGGAUCUCUUGGUUCUC